rnacentral:rRNA from 1 species
GACGAACGCUGGCGGCGUGCUUAACACAUGCAAGUCGAGCGGAAAGGCCCCUUGUGGGUACUCGAGCGGCGAACGGGUGAGUAACACGUGAGUAAUCUGCCCUUCACUUCAGGAUAGCUCCCGGAAACGGGGAUUAAUACUGGAUAUGACACAUUCGCGCAUGUGGGUGUGUGGAAAGUUUUUUCGGUGAGGGAUGUGCUCGCGGCCUAUCAGCUUGAUGGUGGGGUAAUGGCCUACCAUGGCUUCGACGGGUAGCCGGCCUGAGAGGGUGACCGGUCACACUGGGACUGAGACACGGCCCAGACUCCUACGGGAGGCAGCAGUGGGGAAUAUUGGACAAUGGGCGGAAGCCUGAUCCAGCAACGCCGCGUGAGGGAUGACGGCCUUCGGGUUGUAAACCUCUUUCAGCACAGACGAAGCGCAAGUGACGGUAUGUGCAGAAGAAGGACCGGCCAACUUCGUGCCAGCCGCCGCAGUAAGAC